UAAUCAAAAAUUAAUUAUUUUUAAGUUAAAAUAAUUAAGAGGUUUUACUUACGGGGUUUUGGUGUGUUUGAUUUUGGCACAGGUUGGGGUUUGGUUUUAGUUUAUACAUGUUAUAAAAUUUAGUGGUGGACGGAGAUUAUAUGAGUGAUGAAUAGAGCUGUUUUUUGUAAAAUAGCAUCAAUGGAAUUUGUAAAUAAUUUAAAAUUAUUAAAACAUCCACAUAUUUGCGUAGUUAGUUGGUGAACUAAGAUUGCUGAUUAUUGAUUUCCUACUUCAGUGGCGAAGAUUGGGCUAUUAUUGACAGAUAUACCCAGGUAAAAACAAAUAGAGGAAGGAAAUAGGGGUGCCAGCACCUGCGGUUAAACCACAUACCUCAAUUCUAACUACCAGAUGGUAAAGGAACAGUAUAAUAAAGAUAUAUACACGCCUGUAUUUGGUGAAAUAUAAUCAGGAAGAGUGAUUCUUUUUUUCUUUAACACUUAAAUCUUACAAAUCUGCUUACGAAGACAGGGAUUAGAGACCCCUUUAUUGAAGAUACCUUCAAAGCCAUGGGGACUACGAGCAAAACCGCUUAAAAACCAAGAGUUCUGGCGGUGCAUUACAACCAUUUAGGGAAACUUGGCGGUUAAACCGAUGAUCCUCGAGAACGUUACCUUUUCUAAGCUUGGUAUACCGCCGUUGACAAUCUACCCCGAACGGAAUAGAAGUAUAAGGUGAAAUAUAUAAAUUUAUUAAAAAUAUAGGAAUUCAGGUAGACGUGUUGGAUAUGAAAAGGGCUUAGCUGAGUUACAAAUGUUUAGCAUAACGGAGAUAAAAAUGAAAUUUUUUAUUGAAGAAGAACUUAUUAGUAAAAUUUUUUAAUGAAGAAAUUUGAAUAGAUGUAAAUAAUGUGCGUACAGAUCGCCCGGUGGUCACCUGAUAUUAAUAAAAUGGGAUAAGCCGUAACAUAGUAAUGCUACUAGAAAGUGGUGUUGGUUAAAAAUUUUUUAUUUA